rnacentral:lncRNA from 1 species
UUUAGGAUUUAGGAAUAGGAUUUAGGAUUCAGAAUUUAAGAUUAGGGAGUAGCAUUUAGAAUUAAAGAAUAGGAUUUAGAAUUUAGGAUUUAGAAGUACAAUUUAGGAUUUAAGUUUUGAAGGAGGAUUUAGGGUUUUAGAAAGAUGUGACAAUCCUAUUGGAAGAAAAAUAUGAAAUAUGAAAAAAUCAAGGAGGUUUUGCUCUUUUGUAUUUUUGUUUUAUGAAUGUUUAUUGAAAGAGUAAUUGAUGUUAUGAAGGCUAGCAAUUUUACAAAGAGGAUUGUGUUUAUGAAAUAUUAUAUUGCUAAAAAAUAGUAGAGCAAUCAGUAGUAGUCAAAAGCUCGAUGUUUUCUUAAAAGUAAUCUUUUUCCACGACAAUAAAGAAGAUAGCACACAAUUAGUUAGUAAAUCUUACACAAUCCAAGUUGGUAAUAGAUUAUAUCUUUCAAUUCAAGUCCUUACAUAUCCAAAUUGACAAUAUUUCAAAGGAAAAGAUAAUGGAUCAAUUUCUACAAGGGUUGAAAUCUAGGAUCUAACAAGAAGAAGAACUAAAAGAUCUUCAAUUUGAAGAUACCAUUUGGAAGUAAACAAAGGUAUUUCACAUUAGUA